rnacentral:rRNA from 1 species
GACAGAGGGUGCAAACGUUGUUCGGAUUUACUGGGCGUAAAGCGCGUGUAGGCGGCUUGGCAAGUUGGAUGUGAAAGCCCACGGCUCAACCGUGGAAGCGCAUCCAAAACUGCUUCGCUCGAGUCUCGGAGAGGAAGGUGGAAUGCUUGGUGUAGAGGUGAAAUUCGUAGAUAUCAAGCAGAACACCUGCGGCGAAGGCGGCCUUCUGGACGAUGACUGACGCUGAGACGCGAAAGCGUGGGGAGCAAUCAGG